rnacentral:rRNA from 1 species
UGGGAGCUCUCCCAUAUGGUCGACCUGCAGGCGGCGCGAAUUCACUAGUGAUUCGUAUUACCGCGGCUGCUGGCACAGAGUUAGCCGGUGCUUAUUCUGUCGGUAACGUCAAAACACUAACGUAUUAGGUUAAUGCCCUUCCUCCCAACUUAAAGUGCUUUACAAUCCGAAGACCUUCUUCACACACGCGGCAUGGCUGGAUCAGGCUUUCGCCCAUUGUCCAAUAUUCCCCACUGCUGCCUCCCGUAGGAGUCUGGACCGUGUCUCAGUUCCAGUGUGACUGAUCAUCCUCUCAGACCAGUUACGGAUCGUCGCCUUGGUGAGCCGUUACCCCACCAACUAGCUAAUCCGACCUAGGCUCAUCUGAUAGCGCAAGGCCCGAAGGUCCCCUGCUUUCUCCCGUAGGACGUAUGCGGUAUUAGCGUCCGUUUCCGAGCGUUAUCCCCCACUACCAGGCAGAUUCCUAGGCAUUACUCACCCGUCCGCCGCUCUCAAGAGGUGCAAGCACCUCUCUACCGCUCGACUUGCAUGUGUUAGGCCUGCCGCCAGCGUUCAAUCUGAGCCAUGAUCAAACUCUAAUCGAAUUCCCGCGGCCGCCAUGGCGGCCGGGAGCAUGCGAC